rnacentral:rRNA from 1 species
UUUGGUUCCCUGCUUCAGGACGAACGCUGGCCGGCGUGCCUUAAUCCAUGCAAAGUCGAAGCGGAUUGAUGGGAAGCUGGUUCCCUGUUAUCACCGCCGAACGGUUGAUUACCACGUGGUUACCUUCCUGGUAGGACUGGGAUAAUUCCGGGAACCCGGGGUUAUUCCCGGUUAAUUCAUUUCUUGCCAGGAGGAAAUGUGAAAAGGUGGUUUCGGCUAUCACUUACAGAUGGACCCGCGGCGCAUUAGCUAGUUGGUGAGGUAACGGCUCACCAAGGCGACGAUGCGUAGCCGACCUGAGAGGGUGAUCGGCCACACUGGGACUGAGACACGGCCCAGACUCCUACGGGAGGCAGCAGUAGGGAAUCUUCCGCAAUGGACGAAAGUCUGACGGAGCAACGCCGCGUGAGUGAUGAAGGUUUUCGGAUCGUAAAGCUCUGUUGUUAGGGAAGAACAAGUACCGUUCGAAUAGGGCGGUACCUUGACGGUACCUAACCAGAAAGCCACGGCUAACUACGUGCCAGCAGCCGCGGUAAUACGUAGGUGGCAAGCGUUGUCCGGAAUUAUUGGGCGUAAAGCGCGCGCAGGUGGUUUCUUAAGUCUGAUGUGAAAGCCCACGGCUCAACCGUGGAGGGUCAUUGGAAACUGGGGAACUUGAGUGCAGAAGAGGAAAGUGGAAUUCCAAGUGUAGCGGUGAAAUGCGUAGAUAUUUGGAGGAACACCAGUGGCGAAGGCGACUUUCUGGUCUGUAACUGACACUGAGCGGAAAGAGUGGGGAGCAAACAGGAUUAGAUACCCUGGUAGUCCACGCCGUAAACGAUGAGUGCUAAGUGUUAGGGGGUUUCCGCCCCUUAGUGCUGCAGCUAACGCAUUAAGCACUCCGCCUGGGGAGUACGGUCGCAAGACUGAAACUCAAAGGAAUUGACGGGGGCCCGCACAAGCGGUGGAGCAUGUGGUUUAAUUCGAAGCAACGCGAAGAACCUUACCAGGUCUUGACAUCCUCUGACAACCCUAGAGAUAGGGCUUUCCCCUUCGGGGGACAGAGUGACAGGUGGUGCAUGGUUGUCGUCAGCUCGUGUCGUGAGAUGUUGGGUUAAGUCCCGCAACGAGCGCAACCCUUGAUCUUAGUUGCCAGCAUUCAGUUGGGCACUCUAAGAUGACUGCCGGUGACAAACCGGAGGAAGGUGGGGGAUGACGUCAAAUCAUCAUGCCCCUUAUGACCUGGGCUACACACGUGCUACAAUGGACGGUACAAAGGGCAGCGAGACCGCGAGGUUUAGCCAAUCCCAUAAAACCGUUCUCAGUUCGGAUUGUAGGCUGCAACUCGCCUACAUGAAGCUGGAAUCGCUAGUAAUCGCGGAUCACCAUGCCGCGGUUGAAUACGUUCCCGGGCCUUGUACACACCGCCCGUCACACCACGAAGAGUUUGUAACACCCGAAGUCCGGUGAGGUAACCUUUUUGGAGCCAGCCGCCUAAGGUGGGACAGAUGAUUGGGGGUGAUCUACAAAGGGGGAGGCGCGA